rnacentral:rRNA from 1 species
GAUGAACGCUAGCUGCAGGCCUAACACAUGCAAGUCGAGGGACGGGCGCAGGGGUGAGAAACACGUAUCCAACCUGGCCUUUACCCGGGGAUUGCCGUUCGAAAGAACGAUUAAUACCUGAUACAAAGGUCCGGGAUGCGUUUCAUUAGUUUGUUGGUGAGGUAACGGCAAACCAAGCCUUCGAUGGAUAGGGGUUCUGAGAGGCAGGUCCCCCACAUUGGAACGGAGACACGGUCCAGACGCCGACGGGAGGCAGCAGUGAGGAAUAUUGGGCAAUGGACGCUAGCCUGAACCAGCCACGUAGCGUGAAGGAUGAAGGGUUAUGGAUCGUAAACUUCUUUUAUAUAAGAAGCUGUACUAUAUGAAUAAGGAUCGGCUAACUCCGUGCCAGCAGCCGCGGUAAUUC